rnacentral:tRNA from 1 species
AAGGUCUUAGCUUAAUUAAAGUGUCUGUUUUGCAUGCAGAAGAUGUGGGAUAGAGACCCGCAGACCUUA